rnacentral:lncRNA from 1 species
GGUAAACAGCACUCUGGGACAAGAUGAGAUUAGUCUUGCCCCCCACGAAGUAAGUACUGAAGCCUGUCUUCGCUCAUGGGAAAAUGGAAGCUCAGACACACUAAGGAAGCCACCAGUAAGAGAAGGGCUGGGAUCCAAGUGCCCCUAGUCAGGCUCCAAAGCCAGGCUCUUCCCUCUUCCCUCCAGAGACGGAAGAGGCUGCAGAAGAAAACCAGAGGCAAAGCAUUGAGACAUGAGGGCCUGGGGUCCCUGAGUCUGAUUCGGCAGCUCUGAGCUGGGGCUCAGGCAUCGUGUGAAGCUCUGCAAGUGAUUCUGAUGUGCAGCCAGGCUGAGGGCUCUCCCUCUCCGAUGAGCAGCGGACUCAUUCCCCAGAAUGCAGCCUGGCCGCGUCCAUGCC